AAUGAACGCUGGCGGCAUGCCUAACACAUGCAAGUCGAACGAGAUCCUUCGGGGUCUAGUGGCGCACGGGUGCGUAACGCGUGGGAAUCUACCCUUGGGUUCGGAAUAACAGUGAGAAAUUACUGCUAAUACCGGAUGAUGACGAAAGUCCAAAGAUUUAUCGCCCAGGGGAUGAGCCCGCGUAAGAUUAGCUAGUUGGUGGGGUAAAGGCCUACCAAGGCGACGAUCUUUAGCUGGUCNGAGAGGAUGAUCAGCCACACUGGGACUGAGACACGGCCCAGACUCCUACGGGAGGCAGCAGUGGGGAAUCUUGCGCAAUGGGCGAAAGCCUGACGCAGCGACGCCGCGUGCGGGAAGAAGGCCUUCGGUUGUAACCGUAC
rnacentral:rRNA from 1 species